rnacentral:lncRNA from 1 species
UCAAGAUCACAUGUGGUUGAGCUGUAUAUACGUUGGAUGUUUCUUAUAGUGUGGUUGAACUGUAUGUGUCGGUUGAGUGAGUGUACGUGCAGUUGGGCUGUGUGCGAAGUGAGAUUGCACGUGAAAAGCAGGCAGUUUCUGCGACUUAGUCAUAAAAGUGGACGGUUUGAUGUGACGGGUGCAGUCGUGAUAUGAUAGAGCGGAGCGACGGUGUGAAAGCUGAGCCAGGAAAAUUAUCAUGGCUGUCGGGGCCGUAUUGGCUUGACGGCCUGUGUGCUGGCUAGUUGAGUGUGGCGGGUCAACACCAAGUAUGCUGACCAGCGAAGUGAUGCCUCUCACCAGUGUUGUGACCGGACGUUGUCCAGUGCCAAGUAUGGAGGGCAGGGUAGCCUCAAGGUAUUGCCGGUUGAGUGUGGCGGGUCAACUCCAAGUAUGCUGACCAGCUAAGCGAUGCCUCUCACCAGUGCCUCUCACCAGUGUUGUGACCGGACGUUGUCCAGUGACAAGUAUGGAGGGCAGGGUAGCCUCAGGGUAUCGUCAGACAGGGUGUGACCGUGUUCGUGAGGACGUGAACUGUACAUACCAUUAAUCUGUGCAACCUCCUGUAUAGGAGCCGAUCGUCAAAUAGAUAUGGACUGGAAUAUUACAUUUUGUAAAUGUUUCAUUUGUAUGCCUAUAUUUGAUUUGUGUAUUGUGUAUAGGAGUAUGAGUGUAUUGGGUACCGCUGGUGUAAUGGAGUACUGAGUGUGUAUUUGAGUGAUGUACUGAAGGUGUAUUUGAGUGAUAUAUGACUGAGAUGUUUGGAUGAAUGUAUUUGAGGUGAGAAAGGGGUGUGCAAGCUGAAUAUUUGAACUUUUCUUGAUUUUCCAUUUCAUUUUGUUUUGAAAUAAAUUAUAUUUAUUUCAA